rnacentral:lncRNA from 1 species
AGUGACCGCGUCCGCGCUCCAGCGCUCCGGGUGGGGCUGUGAGUCCAUCGCUGAGAAAAGGGAGCUGGAGGACCAGUGUGGAGCCUGAGCCAGCUGGAGAGGGGCCCGGUAGGAUGUGAGCAGCAACUGUUUGGGCUGGUGGCACAGAGGUAAAAGAACUUACCAAGACAGCUGUGGGUGAAGAAAGGCAGAUUUAUUAAAGACAGUAUCAAAGUAUGUUAUCAGGGAGCA